rnacentral:rRNA from 1 species
GUACAAGCAGUGGGAGCACAGGUUUACCUGUGUGACUGCGUACCUUUUGUAUAAUGGGUCAGCGACUUAUAUUCUGUAGCAAGGUUAACCGCAUAGGGGAGCCGGAGGGAAACCGAGUCUUAACCGGGCGUUAAGUUGCAGGGUAUAGACCCGAAACCCGGUGAUCUAGCCAUGGGCAGGUUGAAGGUUGGGUAACACUAACUGGAGGACCGAACCGACUAAUGUUGAAAAAUUAGCGGAUGACCUGUGGCUGGGGGUGAAAGGCCAAUCAAACCGGGAGAUAGCUGGUUCUCCCCGAAAGCUAUUUAGGUAGCGCCUCGUGAAUUCAUCUCCGGGGGUAGAGCACUGUUUCGGCCAGGGGGCCAUCCCGGCUUACCAAUCCGAUGCAAACUGCGAAUACCGGAGAAUGUUAUCACGGGAGACACACGGCGGGUGCUAACGUCCGUCGUGAAGAGGGAAACAACCCAGACCGCCAGCUAAGGUCCCAAAGUCAUGGUUAAGUGGGAAACGAUGUGGGAAGGCCCAGACAGCCAGGAUGUUGGCUUAGAAGCAGCCAUCAUUUAAAGAAAGCGUAAUAGCUCACUGGUCGAGUCGGCCUGCGCGGAAGAUGUAACGGGGCUAAACCAU